GGAAUAGGACAACCUAGCGGCGAGCGCAGCGCAUGCCACGUACAAUGUGAAGCGGCCUUAAGACAGAUGAACUCAG